AUUGAACGCUGGCGGCAGGCCUAACACAUGCAAGUCGAACGAGUGGCGGACGGGUGAGUAAUGUCUGGGCAACUGCCUGAUGGAGGGGGAUAACUACUGGAAACGGUAGCUAAUACCGCAUACCAUCAGAUGUUCCCCGUGGGGAUUAGCUUGGUGGGGGGGUAACGGCUCACCAAGGCGACGAUCCCUGGCUGGUCUGCGAGGAUGACCAGCCACACUGGAACUGAGACACGGUCAAGACUCCUACGGGAGGCAGCAGUGGGGAAUAUUGCGCAAUGGGCGCAAGCCUGAUGCAGCCAUGCCGCGUGUAUGAAGAAGGCCUUCGGGUUGUAAAGUACUUUCAGCGGGGAGGCGUUACCCGCAGAAGAAGCACCGGCUAACUCCGUGCCAGCAGCCGCGGUAAUAC
rnacentral:rRNA from 1 species